CAGUCGCCGCGGGAAUACGUAGGGUGCGAGCGUUAAUCGGAAUUACUGGGCGUAAAGCGUGCGCAGGCGGUUGUGUAAGACAGGUGUGAAAUCCCCGGGCUUAACCUGGGAACUGCGCUUGUGACUGCACAGCUAGAGUAUGGCAGAGGGGGGUGGAAUUCCACGUGUAGCAGUGAAAUGCGUAGAGAUGUGGAGGAACACCGAUGGCGAAGGCAGCCCCCUGGGCCAGUACUGACGCUCAUGCACGAAAGCGUGGGGAGCAAACAGGAUUAGAUACCCCUGUAGUCCCUGUCUCUUAUAC
rnacentral:rRNA from 1 species